rnacentral:rRNA from 1 species
UACAGAGAGUGCAACCGUUGUUCGGAAUUACUGGGCUUGAAGCGCACGUAGGCGGCAUCGUAAGUGUCGGGUGAAAUCCCACGGCUCACCCGUGGAACUGCCCGGCAUACUGCGAUGCUCGAGUGUGGUAGGGGAGAGCGGAACUCCUGGUGGAGCGGUGAAAUGCGUAGAUAUCAGGAGGAACACCGGUGGCGAAGGCGGCUCUCUGGUCCACAACUGACGCUGAGGUGCGAAAGCUAGGGGAGCAAACGGG